CAGUCGCCGCGGGAAUACAGAGGGUGCAAGCGUUAAUCGGAUUUACUGGGCGUAAAGGGCGCGUAGGUGGUUAUUUAAGUGAGAUGUGAAAGCCCCGGGCCUAACCUGGGAACUGCAUCUUAUACUGGGUAACUGGAGUGCAGUAGAGGGUAGUGGAAUUUCCGGUGUAGCGGUGAAAUGCGUAGAUAUCGGAAGGAACACCAGUGGCGAAGGCGGCUACCUGGACUGAGACUGACACUGAGGCGCGAGAGCGUGGGGAGCAAACAGGAUUAGAUACCCCCGUAGUCCCUGUCUCUUAUAC
rnacentral:rRNA from 1 species